GCAAAGGAGCCCAGGAAGGGAUGGUCAGCAAAUCAUGGAGGGAGAAUCAAGGCAUCAAGGGAGGAACUUCAAGAAGAAGAAUGAAGUGGCCAGGACAUGCUAUGGAGAACUUAAAUAAGAUAAAGCCUCAGAGUUGUCCCUGGGUCUUGUGACGUGGAAGACUUUGUGAUGCUUGCAAGAACUGCUAGUGGCAUGGGUGAAGCCUCAUAGGAGGGUGCUGAGAAUGAAGGACAAGUUACAAGGGAAGACAACCAAAGAUGACGUCUUCCUGAUGCUUGGUCCUUGAAGGAAUGAGAGAGGAAAGGAAAUAGACACAGGAUAAAGGGCAAGUGCUUGAAAAUGGGAGGCAUUGGAACACUUUGAGUAAUGAAUGAAAAGAAGCUAGUAGAGAAGGAGGAGUUGAAAAUGAAGCAGAGAAAGGCUAAAUUAUGGAGCUGUGUCCAUUAAGGUCAGGAGAGCGGGGGUCCAUUGAUAAGUCUUGAGUGAGCUUUCAACAAGGAGAAGGUGGUUUUUCUUCAAAGCGAAAUGGAGAGAGGAGGUUAAAGAUCUCUGAAUUUUGGAUGAGAAUGCAUGGCUGUGUGAUUUGACCUGAAUUAGCCGGCAAAAAGAAAUCUUCAGAUUUUAAACUACUAAGUGCAACAAAAUAAUGACACCUUUUGCAAACAUUACAAGAUAAUAGGAGGUGGUCCAGUCAUUUAUGAAGCAAUGAGAUAUAUGGAAAUGUUGUGUUCUGAACUGCCCGUGUGAGACGGCAGUGUCCCAGCAAACGGCUGACCACUCUAGUUCCGCAGCAUGAUAACUUGUGGAUGUUUUCUCCAGUCGGCUUUUUCAAGGUCAAGAUUGAGGGUGAUCCUGAGAAGAGAGCCGUGGCCACUGCCUACACCCUGUUCCCAGCCAACUGUCUAAAGAUGUGUGCUGAUGUUCACAUGUUAGAGGACGAGCAGAAAUUAGGCAGGGACAAGUGCAAAUGUACUCCUGAGAGUGACAGGCUAAUUCACCAUCUACCUACUCCGGCCCAGAAGAUGGCAAAUCUGUGGCAUCAUCUCCAUAAAGGAAGGAGAGUCUGUUAUUGUAGACGCCAAUUAGUGAGGGGAAAAAAGGAUUGCUAGUUUGAAAGCACUUUGUCACUUCGAAAAUCAAGCUCAGCAAACAGGGGGACAUACAAUGCAAUUUUGAAAUACUGCAUAACUGUCAUAUUCUGGCAGGUUUGGCAAUAUUUCCAUUUAUGUGAAAGUGUGUGAUGCUAAUUUUUACUGUACUUCUAUCUAGGUGCUUCUGUUGAUAAUUGGCCAGAAGUUAAAAGGCUCUAUGUAGUUAAGCCAAAAUUCCAUCCACACAAAUGAAAUAGAGGAUAUUUCCUU